UGGACAGAGUGCUGCCCUGGCCUGGU
rnacentral:piRNA from 1 species